rnacentral:rRNA from 1 species
GACGAACACUGGCGGCGUGCCUAACACAUGCAAGUCGAGCAGGGAAAACCCUUCGGGGUUUUUCUAGCGGCGGACGGGUGAGUAACGCGUGAGCAAUCUGUCCCAUACAGGGGGAUAACAACUGGAAACAGUUGCUAAUACCGCAUGAGACCACAGAGCCGCAUGGUUCAGGGGUCAAAGGAGCAAUCCGGUAUGGGGUGAGCUCGCGUCCGAUUAGCUAGUUGGUGAGGUAACGGCCCACCAAGGCAACGAUCGGUAGCCGACCUGAGAGGGUGAUCGGCCACAUUGGAACUGAGACACGGUCCAA